GAUGAACGCUAGCGGAAGGCAUAAUACAUGCAAGUCGAACGGAUGUAGCAAUACAUUAGUGGCGCACGGGUGCGUAACGCGUAUGCAACCUACCUUCAUCAGGGGGAUAACUACUCGAAAGGGUGGCUAACACCGCAUAAUACUACUGAAUGGCAUCAUUUGGUAUUUAAAUCUGAGGAGGAUGAAGAUGGGCAUGCGUCUGAUUAGCUAGUUGGUGUGGUAACGGCGCACCAAGGCGACGAUCAGUAGGGGAACUGAGAGGUUGGUCCCCCACACUGGCACUGAGAUACGGGCCAGACUCCUACGGGAGGCAGCAGUAGGGAAUAUUGGUCAAUGGUGGGAACACUGAACCAGCCAUUCCGCGUGCAGGAAGAAGGGUCUCUGACUUGUAAACUGCUUUAGCAAGGGAAGAAAAAGCCCAUGCGUGAGAAAUUGACGGUACCUUGAGAAUAAGCACCGGCUAACUACGUGCCAGCCGCCGCCGUAACAC
rnacentral:rRNA from 1 species